GAUGAACGCUGGCGGCGUGCCUAAUACAUGCAAGUCGAGCGAAUGGAUUGAGAGCUUGCUCUUAUGAAGUUAGCGGCGGACGGGUGAGUAACACGUGGGUAACCUGCCCAUAAGACUGGGAUAACUCCGGGAAACCGGGGCUAAUACCGGAUAACAUUUUGAACCGCAUGGUUCGAAAUUGAAAGGCGGCUUCGGCUGCCACUUAUGGAUGGACCCGCGUCGCAUUAGCUAGUUGGUGAGGUAACGGCUCACCAAGGCAACGAUGCGUAGCCGACCUGAGAGGGUGAUCGGCCACACUGGGACUGAGACACGGCCCAGACUCCUACGGGAGGUAGCAGUAGGGAAUCUUCCGCAAUGGACGAAAGUCUGACGGAGCAACGCCGCGUGAGUGAUGAAGGCUUUCGGGUCGUAAAACUCUGUUGUUAGAGAAGAACAAGUGCUAGUUGAAUAAGCUGGCACCUUGACGGUACCUAACCAGAAAGCCACGGCUAACUACGUGCCAGCCGCCGCAGUAA
rnacentral:rRNA from 1 species